UUGGGAUAGGCUUGCGUCUGAUUAGCUUAGUUGUGUGGUAACGGCACACCAAGGCCACGAUCAGUAACUGGUCUGAGAGGAUGAUCAGUCACACUGGAACUGAGACACGGUCCAGUCUCCUACGGGGAGGCAGCAGUGAGGAAUAUUGGGCAAUGCUCGAAAGAGUGACCCAGCAACGCCGCGUGGAGGAUGAAGGUAUUCUAUAUCGUAAACUCCUGUGAGAGCAGACGAAAGACAGAUUAUUAAUCUGGAUGACUGUAUGCUCAGAGGAAGCCCCGGCUAACUACGUG
rnacentral:rRNA from 1 species